rnacentral:rRNA from 1 species
AGAGUUUGAUCCUGGCUCAGGAUGAACGCUGACAGAAUGCUUAACACAUGCAAGUCAACUUGAAUUUGGGUUUUUAACUUAGAUUUGGGUGGCGGACGGGUGAGUAACGCGUAAAGAACUUGCCUCACAGCUAGGGACAACAUUUAGAAAUGAAUGCUAAUACCUGAUAUUAUGAUUUUAAGGCAUCUUAGAAUUAUGAAAGCUAUAAGCACUGUGAGAGAGCUUUGCGUCCCAUUAGCUAGUUGGAGAGGUAACAGCUCACCAAGGCGAUGAUGGGUAGCCGGCCUGAGAGGGUGAACGGCCACAAGGGGACUGAGACACGGCCCUUACUCCUACGGGAGGCAGCAGUGGGGAAUAUUGGACAAUGGACCGAGAGUCUGAUCCAGCAAUUCUGUGUGCACGAUGAAGUUUUUCGGAAUGUAAAGUGCUUUCAGUUGGGAAGAAAAAAAUGACGGUACCAACAGAAGAAGUGACGGCUAAAUACGUGCCAGCAGCCGCGGUAAUACGUAUGUCACGAGCGUUAUCCGGAUUUAUUGGGCGUAAAGCGCGUCUAGGUGGUUAUGUAAGUCUGAUGUGAAAAUGCAGGGCUCAACUCUGUAUUGCGUUGGAAACUGUAUAACUAGAGUACUGGAGAGGUAAGCGGAACUACAAGUGUAGAGGUGAAAUUCGUAGAUAUUUGUAGGAAUGCCGAUGGGGAAGCCAGCUUACUGGACAGAUACUGACGCUAAAGCGCGAAAGCGUGGGUAGCAAACAGGAUUAGAUACCCUGGUAGUCCACGCUGUAAACGAUGAUUACUAGGUGUUGGGGGUCGAACCUCAGCGCCCAAGCAAACGCGAUAAGUAAUCCGCCUGGGGAGUACGUACGCAAGUAUGAAACUCAAAGGAAUUGACGGGGACCCGCACAAGCGGUGGAGCAUGUGGUUUAAUUCGACGCAACGCGAGGAACCUUACCAGCGUUUGACAUCUUAGGAAUGAGAUAGAGAUAUUUCAGUGUCCCUUCGGGGAAACCUAAAGACAGGUGGUGCAUGGCUGUCGUCAGCUCGUGUCGUGAGAUGUUGGGUUAAGUCCCGCAACGA